rnacentral:rRNA from 1 species
UACCUAGGUUUGACAUGCUGGUGAAAGCCUUGUGAAAGCAAGGUCCUCCUUCGGGACACCAGCACAGGUGCUGCAUGGCUGUCGUCAGCUCGUGUCGUGAGAUGUUGGGUUAAGUCCCGCAACGAGCGCAACCCUUGCCCUGUGUUACUAACAGGUAAAGCUGAGGACUCUCGGGGGACUGCCGGCGUCAAGCCGGAGGAAGGUGGGGACGACGUCAAGUCAUCAUGGCCCUUACGCCUAGGGCGACACACGUGCUACAAUGGCCAGGACAGAGGGCUGCGAAGCGGCAACGUGGAGCGAAUCCCAGAAACCUGGUCCAAGUUCGGAUUGUGGGCUGAAACUCGCCCACAUGAAGCCGGAAUCGCUAGUAAUCGCGGAUCAGCCAUGCCGCGGUGAAUACGUUCCCGGGCCUUGUGCACACCGCCCGUCACGCCAUGGAAGUUGGGAGUGCCCGAAGUCCGUAUGCUAACCGCAAGGAGGCAGCGGCCUAAGGCAAGCUCGAUGACUGGGGCGAAGUCGUAACAAGGUAACCAAGGG